UUCAAAGUUGAAUUCCUUACAGAGUUAUAUAUUUUCCCAGAUCUAUUCUUCUUGAGAAUCUCUUGGAACUUCUGCUUGCUUGCUUUACUUGGCGUAAUUAGUUGAUUUUAUUUGUGCUUUCUUGAAGGAAUUAGCUUUCAAGUACUCUCCGUUUUUCUGGGGUUUUUAUUUUAUUCUUCCCGCACAGCUUUUCUAGUUUAGUUUUCAAGUCGUAAAAAACUCUCGUGAUUCAUACCACUACAAAAAAAAUAUAUGCUUUGUGAGUCUUAUGAUCAGUUACCGUUAGUUCAGUGGGGUAAAGUUCAGAAUAUUAGGUGGGAUAAUAGUUCUGCUUUUACUGCCAUUCCUUAAUGUUUCCUACACUGCAGAACUGAAAAGAUGUGACUGCCUCACAUCAUUGGAUUAGUUAACUAAAUGGGCUGAGUAUCCAUAACUUUCUUGUAUCAGUUGGUAUUCAUGUUUAGGCAUCUCUCUUGUAUAAGUCCUAUGUACAUGGGCUAUGCCUAUUGCUUUCAUCAAUGAAAUUCUUGUUUACC